AUGAAGAUCAUUUUGUUGAGCCUAGUAGCCAUAUAGUGCCAAAGAGCCAAGUUAAGGAGUUGGUAGUAGCCAAGAGAGGAAUUUGAUCAAGUGAAAGUGUUUGAAGUGAAGUAGUGAUUGAAGGUAAUUAGGCCAUCCAUGGAAGAAUGGGACUUUAGGUAGAAGCUUAGUUUAACCCUCUCAAACUUUUGGCUCUUGAUACAUGUGUAUUUUGAUGAAAAUGUUGUUUAUGAUGUAUUUUGAGUCUUGACUAUUAUAGUGGGUUGAAGUAUAAGUCAUUUUGGAGUCAAAUUACCCAUUUUGUCACUUUGGGUAAAUGCGGGCGAGUGACCCGUUUGGUCGUUUUAAUGUACAUUUCAAUGGUUAAAGUUUCAGAUCUGCUAUUAUGUUGUAA